rnacentral:rRNA from 1 species
AUUGAACGCUGGCGGCAGGCCUAACACAUGCAAGUCGAACGGUAACAGGAAGAAGCUUGCUUCUUUGCUGACGAGUGGCGGACGGGUGAGUCAUGUCUGGGAAACUGCCUGAUGGAGGGGGAUAACUACUGGAAACGGUAGCUAAUACCGCAUAAUGUCGCAAGACCAAAGAGGGGGACCUUCUGGCCUCUUGCCAUCGGAUGUGCCCAGAUGGGAUUAGCUAGUAGGUGGGGUAACGGCUCACCUAGGCGACGAUCCCUAGCUGGUCUGAGAGGAUGACCAGCCACACUGGAACUGAGACACGGUCCAGACUCCUACGGGAGGCAGCAGUGGGGAAUAUUGCACAAAGGGCGCAAGCCUGAUGCAGCGAUGCCGCGUGUAUGAAGAAGGCCUUCGGGUUGUAAAGUACUUUCAGCGGGGAGGAAGGGAGUAAAGUUAAUACCUUUGCUCAUUGACGUUACCCGCAGAAGAAGCACCGGCUAACUCCGUG